rnacentral:rRNA from 1 species
GUGGGGAAUAUUGACAAUGGGCGAAAGCCUGAUCCAGCCAUGCCGCGUGUGUGAAGAAGGUCUUCGGAUUGUAAAGCACUUUAAGUUGGGAGGAAGGGCAGUAAGUUAAUACCUUGCUGUUUUGACGUUACCGACAGAAUAAGCACCGGCUAACUUCGUGCCAGCAGCCGCGGUAAUACGAAGGGUGCAAGCGUUAAUCGGAAUUACUGGGCGUAAAGCGCGCGUAGGUGGUUUUGUAAGUUGGAGGUGAAAUCCCCGGGCUCAACCUGGGAACUGCCUCCAAAACUGCAUGACUAGAGUACGGUAGAGGGUAGUGGAAUUUCCUGUGUAGCGGUGAAAUGCGUAGAUAUAGGAAGGAACACCAGUGGCGAAGGCGACUACCUGGACUGAUACUGACACUGAGGUGCGAAAGCGUGGGGAGCAAACAGGAUUAGAAACCCGGGUAGUCC